rnacentral:sRNA from 1 species
AGUCGGUGUUUGGGACGCUGGGCGUGCGGUGUUCUGUUUCCGCUCCCGUUUCGCUGUCACAGCCCGUUCCUUCCCGGAGCCCGGGACAGGCUGGGCGCGCGCCCGUGACGCGUGACCAAAACCAAAGACGGCCAUGAAGUGAGAUCGUGCAAAGUAGCAGAUAAAACGGGCAGCAUCACUAUUUCCGUGUGGGAUGAGAUCGGAGGUCUUAUACAGCCAGGGGAUAUUAUUCGGUUGACCAGAGGGUAUGCAUCCAUGUGGAAAGGAUGUCUGACACUUUAUACUGGAAGGGGUGGUGAACUUCAAAAAAUUGGGGAUCUAGGUGCGGUGCAGGCAGCCGCAAUGCGAGAUUCCAUACACUACUACCCUGGUAAUGAUCUCCACCCUGACCUGGAGGAGCCAUCCUCUCUAGGGGUGUAAGGUAAUUCAGCCUCCAUGUUAGCCUAGACAUUGGGUUGUAUUCAUAAAGUAUGGUACAGGCAAUGAGCCAAAUCAUCAGUCCAUUCUGUUUGGUUAAUGCUCAGCCAUCUACUUAAUGCCUGUCAAGUUGGAAGAUAUUUAAAGAGAGAAGCCACAAAUGGCACCAAAUAAAAAAGGAAAACUGUUUGCCACUGAGGGAAUAAGAUGCUUAUUUGGAGAACCUGUGGUUAAUAAUGAAGGAAAAGAAAUGAUCAUGCUAGCUUUUAAAGAUCAGAAAUGUUUAAUGCUUUGCCUUUGUUAGAAGGGAAGUUAGGAUUCACUUACAGUAGCAUUAAUAGAGUUAUGUGUUAUGAAAGGUCUUAGUGUCUGUUACUGAAAGUUUCAGGAUUCUGUCCUGACCUUCAUGUAUUCAUACAGAGGUGUUGAUAAUAAUGGAGGUCGGUUAUGUGAAACACCGUUAGAGGUCACUCAUUUCUUAAUGACUGCUCUUUGUCAGGGUCAGUCUAGGAUUUACCAAAACUGGUUCUGAUUUGUCUUCAGU